rnacentral:rRNA from 1 species
CUACGGGAGGCAGCAGUCGAGGAUCUUCGGCAAUGGGGGCAACCCUGACCGAGCGACGCCGCGUGUGCGAUGAAGGCCUUCGGGUUGUAAAGCACUGUCGAGGGGGAGAAAAGGCAACUUGAUCUAUCCCUGGAGGAAGCACGGGCUAAGUUCGUGCCAGCAGCCGCGGUAAGACGAACCGUGCGAACGUUGUUCGGAAUCACUGGGCUUAAAGGGCGCGUAGGCGGGUCGUCGCGUCCGGGGUGAAAUCCUCCAGCUUAACUGGAGAAUGGCCCUGGGUACGGGCGAUCUUGAGGUGGGUAGGGGCAUGCGGAACUGUGCGUGGAGCGGUGAAAUGCGUUGAUAUGCACAGGAACUCCGGUGGCGAAGGCGGCAUGCUGGACCCUUUCUGACGCUGAGGCGCGAAAGCCAGGGGAGCGAACGGGAUUAGAUACCCCAGUAGUCC